rnacentral:rRNA from 1 species
UUGAACGCUGGCGGCAGGCCUAACACAUGCAAGUCGAGCGGAUGAAGGGAGCUUGCUCCUUGAUUCAGCGGCGGACGGGUGAGUAAUGCCUAGGAAUCUGCCUGGUAGUGGGGGAUAACGUCCGGAAACGGGCGCUAAUACCGCAUACGUCCUGAGGGGGAAAGUGGGGGAUCUUCGGACCUCACGCUAUCAGAUGAGCCUAGGUCGGAUUAGCUAGUUGGUGGGGUAAAGGCCUACCAAGGCGACGAUCCGUAACUGGUCUGAGAGGAUGAUCAGUCACACUGGAACUGAGACACGGUCCAGACUCCUACGGGAGGCAGCAGUGGGGAAUAUUGGACAAUGGGCGAAAGCCUGAUCCAGCCAUGCCGCGUGUGUGAAGAAGGUCUUCGGAUUGUAAAGCACUUUAAGUUGGGAGGAAGGGCAGUAAGUUAAUACCUUGCUGUUUUGACGUUACCAACAGAAUAAGCACCGGCUAACUUCGUG